rnacentral:rRNA from 1 species
AACAAACGCUGGCGGCGUGCCUAACACAUGCAAGUCGUACGAGAAAGUCGGCUUCGGCCGAUGAGUACAGUGGCGCACGGGUGAGUAGCGCGUGGGUAAUCUGCCCCCCGGUCAGGAAUAACCCGCCGAAAGGCGGGCUAAUACCCGACUAACACUGACGCUCCGCGGAGCGUCUUUCAAAGAAGGCCUCUGUUUACAAGCUUUCGCCGGAGGAUGAGCCCGCGUACCAUUAGCUAGUUGGCAGGGUAAUGGCCUACCAAGGCUACGAUGGUUAGCUGGUCUGAGAGGAUGAUCAGCCACACUGGAACUGAGACACGGUCCAGACUCCUACGGGAGGCAGCAGUAGGGAAUAUUGGACAAUGGGCGCAAGCCUGAUCCAGCCAUGCCGCGUGAGUGAAGAAGGCCCUCGGGUUGUAAAGCUCUUUUGUUGGGGAAGAAAAGCAGUUGGUUAAAUACCCGAUUGUUCUGACGGUACCCAAAGAAUAAGCACCGGCUAACUUCGUGCCAGCA